rnacentral:rRNA from 1 species
UACGUAGGGCGCAAGCGUUGUCCGGAAUCAUUGGGCGUAAAGAGCUCGUAGGUGGUCUGUUACGUCUGCUGUGAAAUCCUAGGGCUUAACCCUGGGCCUGCAGUGGAUACGGGCAGACUAGAGGUAGGUAGGGGAGAAUGGAAUUCCAGGUGUAGCGGUGAAAUGCGUAGAUAUCUGGAGGAAUACCGGUGGCGAAGGCGGCAUCCUGGACCGACAUUGACGCUGAACGGCGAAAGCUAGGGGAGCAAACGGG